GUGGCACUUGAAGUGUUUGGCCUUCUGGUGUUGCACAAGGAUCUUUUCGUCAUCGAACUCACGGUUGCAGUACCUAGUUUUUGGCGUUAAGAGUUAAGGAAAAUUCCCGAGAAAGCGGCGUUGUACCCAGUAUGUGUAUACAGCGAGCGGCACACGCAGUGAAAAAUAUUUGUUUGUUUUGCGAAAAGGAUACCAGCACCAGGGUUUGGAGGCCUUCUUCUUCUUGCGUCCCAUGAUCCUAAGGUGGUUUUAAAACACUUAAAUUUACAAAAACGCUCCGGUAGUUGAUAAAAAAAAAGCAAUUUGAUGUACUAAAAAUUGCUCUGUCGUGGAAAACAAAA